rnacentral:snoRNA from 1 species
AUGCAGGAUAAGUUAUAGACCGGCUGUGUCAGUGCCGGUUUGUCGUUCCCCCUGCACAAAUCAACCGGUUUCCUUCUAUCCUUGUGUGUUUGCAUCCCACAGCUCACAGGGACGCUUGGUCUCAGACAU